GACGAACCUUGCGAACGUUAUUCGGAAUCACUGGGCUUAAAGCGCGUGUAGGCGGGUCGAUGCAUCGGUCGUUGAAAUCCCCCGGCUUAACCGGGGAACUGGCGCCGAGAUGAUCGAUCUGGAGGGGAGUAGGGGGACCUGGAACUUCCGGUGGAGCGGUGAAAUGCGUUGAGAUCGGAAGGAACGCCCGUGGCGAAAGCGAGGUCCUGGACUUUUUCUGACGCUGAGACGCGAAAGCUAGGGGAGCAAACGGG
rnacentral:rRNA from 1 species